GACGAACGCUGGCGGCGUGCCUAAUACAUGCAAGUAGAACGCUGAAGGAGGAGCUUGCUUCUCUGGAUGAGUUGCGAACGGGUGAGUAACGCGUAGGUAACCUGCCUGGUAGCGGGGGAUAACUAUUGGAAACGAUAGCUAAUACCGCAUAAGAGUACAUGUUGCAUGACAUUUGCUUAAAAGGUGCAAUUGCAUCACUACCAGAUGGACCUGCGUUGUAUUAGCUAGUUGGUGGGGUAACGGCUCACCAAGGCGACGAUACAUAGCCGACCUGAGAGGGUGAUCGGCCACACUGGGACUGAGACACGGCCCAGACUCCUACGGGAGGCAGCAGUAGGGAAUCUUCGGCAAUGGACGGAGGUCUGACCGAGCAACGCCGCGUGAGUGAAGAAGGUUUUCGGAUCGUAAAGCUCUGUUGUAAGAGAAGAACGAGUGUGAGAGUGGAAAGUUCACACUGUGACGGUAGCUUACCAGAAAGGGACGGCUAACUACGUG
rnacentral:rRNA from 1 species